UCCCUGGAGGACUAGUGGUUAGGCCACAGCACUAUCACCACUGUGGCCCAGGUUCGAUUCCCAGCCAGGUAA